CCCUACUGCUAUCGGGAUGGGGCUAAGACAUGUUAGUCGCGCGCCUUCUAGCCAUGUUGGAGGCGCGGCAUACCGCUCAGUAGCACGUGGCUAACCUACCCUUGGGACGGAAACAUCCCCGGGAAACUGGGGCUAAUUUCCGAUAGGCGAAGCUCCCUGGAAUGGGUUUUUACCUAAAGGGCGCUUGGAUCAUGCUUCUAGGCGUUGCCCAAGGACGGGGCCGCGGCCGAUCAGGUUGUUGGUGAGGUAACGGCUCACCAAGCCUAUAACCGGUGCGGGCCGUGGGAGCGGAAGCCCGGAGAUGGGCACUGAGACAAGGGCCCAGGCCCUACGGGGCGCAGCAGUCGCGCAAACUUCACAAUAAGCGAAAGCUUGAUGGGGCCAUCCCGAGUGUCAUCCGCUGAGGAUGGCUUUUAUCCAGUAUAGAUAGCUGGAGGAAUACGGAGAGGGCAAGUCUGGUGUCAGCCGCCGCGGUAAUACCAGCUCUCCGAGUGGUGGGG
rnacentral:rRNA from 1 species